rnacentral:rRNA from 2 species
AGUGACGAUCAUACCAGCACUAAUGAACCGGAUCCCAACAGAACUCCGCAAUGUAGCGUGCUUAGGCGAGAGUAGCACUAGGAUGGGUGACCUCCUGGGAAGUCCUCGUGUUACACCUC